UCUGGGCUAGCUCAAUAGGCAGAGCGGCGGACUGUUAAUCCGUGUAUGCAGGUUCGAGCCCUGCGCCCAGAG
rnacentral:tRNA from 1 species